UAACACAUGCAAGUCGAGGGGCAGCAUGUUGGUUGCUUGCAACCAACGAUGGCGACCGGCGCACGGGUGAGUAACGCGUAUCCAACCUGCCCUUGUCCAUCGGAUAACCCGUCGAAAGGCGGCCUAACACGAUAUGCGGUUCUCAGCAGGCAUCUAACGAGAACGAAAUGUGAAGGAGAAGGAUGGGGAUGCGUCUGAUUAGCUUGUUGGCGGGGUAACGGCCCACCAAGGCGACGAUCAGUAGGGGUUCUGAGAGGAAGGUCCCCCACAUUGGAACUGAGACACGGUCCAAACUCCUACGGGAGGCAGCAGUGAGGAAUAUUGGUCAAUGGACGAGAGUUUGAACCAGCCAAGUAGCGUGCAGGAUGACGGCCCUAUGGGUUGUAAACUGCUUUUAUAGGGGGAUAAAGUGUGCCACGUGUGGCAUAUUGCAGGUACCCUAUGAAUAAGGACCGGCUAAUUCCGUGCCAGCAGCCGCGGUAAUACGGAAGGUCCAGGCGUUAUCCGGAUUUAUUGGGUUUAAAGGGAGCGUAGGCCGUUUGGUAAGCGUGUUGUGAAAUGUCGGGGCUCAACCUGGGCAUUGCAGCGCGAACUGUCAGACUUGAGUGCGCAGGAAGUAGGCGGAAUUCGUCGUGUAGCGGUGAAAUGCUUAGAUAUGACGAAGAACUCCGAUUGCGAAGGCAGCCUGCUGUAGCGCAACUGACGCUGAAGCUCGAAAGCGUGGGUAUCGAACAGGAUUAGAUACCCUGGUAGUCCACGCGGUAAACGAUGGAUGCUCGCUGUUUGCGUCUGACGUAAGCGGC
rnacentral:rRNA from 1 species